rnacentral:rRNA from 1 species
CACGUAGGGGGCGAGCGUUGUCCGGAUUUACUGGGCGUAAAGAGCGCGCAGGCGGUCGAUCAAGUCGAGUGUGAAAGCCCCCGGCUCAACUGGGGAGGGUCAUUCGAAACUGGUCGACUCGAAGGCAGGAGAGGGUAGUGGAAUUCCCGGUGUAGUGGUGAAAUGCGUAGAUAUCGGGAGGAACACCAGUGGCGAAGGCGACUACCUGGCCUGUUCUUGACGCUGAGGCGCGAAAGCUAGGGGAGCAAACGGG